rnacentral:rRNA from 1 species
UUCGAAGAUACGCGAAGAACCUUACCUAGCCUUGACAUUGAUUGAAUUCCGCAGAGAUGUAGAAGUGCCCUUCGGGGAACAUGAAAACAGGUGCUGCACGGCUGUCGUCAGCUCGUGUCGUGAGAUGUUGGGUUAAGUCCCGCAACGAGCGCAACCCUCGUCAAUAGUUGCCAGCAGGUUAAGCUGGGCACUUUAUUGAGACUGCCUUCGCAAGAAGGAGGAAGGUGAGGACGACGUCAAGUCAUCAUGGCCCUUAUGGCUAGGGCUACACACGUGCUACAAUGGGGCGUACAGAGAGUUGCGAUACCGCGAGGUGGAGCCAAUCUCAUAAAGCGUCUCUCAGUUCGGAUUGAAGUCUGCAACUCGACUUCAUGAAGCUGGAAUCACUAGUAAUCGUAGAUCAGCAAUGCUACGGUGAAUACGUUCCCGGGUCUUGUACUCACCGCCCGUCACACCAUGGGAGUUGAUUUCACCCGAAAUUGGGAAGCUAACCUUAGGGAGGCUACCA